rnacentral:rRNA from 1 species
GACGAACGCUGGCGGCGUGCUUAACACAUGCAAGUCGAGCGGUAAGGCCCUUUCGGGGGUACGACGAGCGGCGAACGGGUGAGUAACACGUGGGUGACCUGCCCUCAGCUCUGGGAUAAGCCUGGGAAACCGGGUACUAAUACCGGAUAUGACUCCAUGACGCAUGUUGUGGGGUGGAAAGCCUUGUGCGGCUGAGGAUGGGCCCGCGGCCUAUCAGCUUGUUGGUGGGGGAUGGCCUACCAAGGCGACGACGGGUAGCCGGCCUGAGAGGGCGACCGGCCACACUGGGACUGAGACACGGCCCAGACUCCUACGGGAGGGCAGCAGUGGGGAAUCUUGCGCAAUGGGCGAAAGCCUGACGCAGCGACGCCGCGUGAGGGAUGACGGCCUGGUGUAAC